rnacentral:rRNA from 1 species
CAGAGGGUGCAAGCGUUAAUCGGAAUUACUGGGCGUAAAGCGCGCGUAGGUGGUUUGUUAAGUUGGAUGUGAAAAUCCCCGGGCGUCAACCUGGGAACGUGCAUUCAAAACUAGACAAAGCUAGAGUAUGGUAGAGGGUGGUGGAAUUUCCUGUGUAGCGGUGAAAUGCGUAGAUAUAGGAAGGAACACCAGUGGCGAAGGCGACCACCUGGACUGAUACUGACACUGAGGUGCGAAAGCGUGGGGGAGCAAACAGGAUU